rnacentral:rRNA from 1 species
UACAGAGGGUGCGAGCGUUAAUCGGAAUUACUGGGCGUAAAGCGCGCGUAGGCGGCUUUGCAAGUCGGGUGUGAAAUCCCCAGGCUUAACCUGGGAACUGCAUUCGAGACUGCAUUGCUAGAGUAUGGGAGAGGGAAGUGGAAUUUCCGGUGUAGCGGUGAAAUGCGCAGAUAUCAGGAGGAACACCAAUGGCGAAGGCAGCUCGCUGGGACGUGACUGACGCUGAGACGCGAAAGCGUGGGGAGCAAACAGG